rnacentral:rRNA from 1 species
AUUGAACGCUGGCGGCAGGCCUAACACAUGCAAGUCGAACGGUUGCAGGGAUCUUGCUCCUGGCUUCAGCGGCGGACGGGUGUGUUAUGCCUAGAAAUCUGCCUGCUAGUGGGGGAUAACGUCCGGAAACGGGCGCUAAUACCGCACACGCUCUGGAGGAGAACGUGGGGUAUCUUCGCCCCUCACGCUAUCAGAUGAGCCUAGGUCGGAUUAGCUAGUUGGUGGGGUAAAGGCCUACCAAGGCGACGAUCCGUAACUGGUCUGAGAGGAUGAUCAGUCACACUGGAACUGAGACACGGCCCAGACUCCUACGGGAGGCAGCAGUGGGGAAUAUUGGACAAUGGGCGAAAGCCUGAUCCAGCCAUGCCGCGUGUGUGAAGAAGGUCUUCGGAUUGUAAAGCACUUUAGGUCGGAAGGAAAGGCAGUAAGUUAAUACCGUGGUGUUAUGACGUUACCAAAAGAAUAAGCACCGGCUAACUACGUG